CCUCACCGCCGCCGCGCCCGCGCAUUUCCUGGUAUUCCGGACCCCGCGUUCUGGUGGGCUGUCACCGACCCGAAAACUCCUGCAGAGCCACCUGUGGGCUCGGUGGCAGCCGCCUAGCCGGGCUCUGCCUCCUUCCCGGCGCCUCCAACAAUAAUCCACACUUCCGCUGCUGCCUGGGCGCCUACUGUGUGCAGGCCACAGCUAGAGGCGGCCAGGUUGGGGGGGUCGGUGGGGUGAGGGGACCGGUGAGCUUCGGAAGCCUUGGAGGCUUGGGUCUACGUGCUAGAUCCAAGCUCGCUGCAGAAUCUCUGGACAGAACUGUGUGAUUAGAGAGCUCCAAUGGAGGGGUCACGGUGGAGAAGCCUCCAGGGCGUCGGGGAUGAAAGAAAACCCAGGGUGGCUGGAGACCCCAGGGGACCAGGACACAGUAAGUCUGAGCAAUUACCCG
rnacentral:lncRNA from 1 species